UCUGUGAUAUCACAAGUGUUGUCGUGACUGCAACUCCCUUCAGAUAUCCCUUCAGUACCUCUAGUGUUUACUAAUUUAACUCUAAUCGAGAGUAAACAGUCAUUGUGGAGUGAGAAGGAAGAGGAUGAUGAGAUCAGAGAUGGGAAGAAGGAAGGUGGUCUUCUGUCUUGUUAUAAAAAAAGGAUGAAAUACAUGGUACUUCGGAAAGCUCAAAAAACUCUCAAAACUCAUCCUGGCUGACAAUGUAGAUUAGACGCAUCAGAUGAAAUGAAUUGAAAAACUCUCCUGGGAAUGAAAGUGGUAAGGAAAUCACAUUGAUGUAUCCUAAAUGCAGUGCUAAGAGCAAUAUUCAGACUAGUCUGUGGAGAUGCUGCUGUCAUCAGAGACCACAGACAAUUAGUGGAGAAUGAUUCAGCAUUAAACU